UACAGAGGUCUCAAGCGUUGUUCGGAUUCAUUGGGCGUAAAGGGUGCGUAGGUGCCAUGGUAAGUCGGAUGUGAAAUCCCGGGGCUCAACCCCGAAACUGCACUUGAUACUGCCUUGCUAGAGUACUGGAGAGGAGAUUGGAAUUUACGGUGUAGCAGUGAAAUGCGUAGAUAUCGUAAGGAAGACCAGUGGCGAAGGCGAAUCUCUGGACAGUUACUGACACUGAGACGCGAAAGCGUGGGGAGCAAACAGG
rnacentral:rRNA from 1 species